rnacentral:rRNA from 1 species
CCUAGGGUGGCUGCAGUAAGGAAUAUUGGUCAAUGGAGGAAACUCUGAACCAGCCAUCCCGCGUGAAGGAUGAAGGGGCUCUGCCUUGUAAACUUCUUUUGUCUGGGGCGAAAAAGCUCGAUUUAUCGAGAACUGACGGUACCAGAAGAAUAAGCACCGGCUAACUCCGUGCCAGCAGCCGCGGUAAUACGGAGGGUGCACGCGUUAUCCGGAAUCACUGGGUUUAAAGGGGGCUUAGGCAGUCUGUGGUGAAAGGCUGUGGCUUAACCAUGGAAUUGCCAUUGAUACUGCAGAGCUUGAAUGAGGUUGAGGUUGGCGGAAUGUGACAUGUAGCGGUGAAAUGCUUAGAUAUGUCAUGGAACACCGAUUGCGAAGGCAGCUGACUGGACCUAUAUUGACGCUGAGGCACGAAAGCGUGGGGAGCGAACAGGAUUAGAUACCCUUGUAGUC